GCGAGGACCUGGCGGUGUACGGCAGCAAAGCGGCCUACGCGUCCAGGAACCACGUGCCAGGGAGCUGCUCCACCACGGGCAGCUCCUCGUCCCGGGGCUCCUCUGGCUCCCGGGGGCCCCCCUCCUCCUCCUCCACCACCAGGAAGCACAGCGAGGACAUGAGAUAAGGAGUACCUUCAACGCACGCACACACACACACACACACACACACACACACACACACAAACAGACAGAGCUUUUCCCACCAUGGAAGCAAGUGGAAGAAAACGACGAGGGAAAAGAGUCUGAGCUUCUCUGCAGCGUUGUUUUUUUCCAUGGGGACCCAGCCCACUGGCUGUGAAAGAUCAACAGACUUUUCAUCCUAGUUUCAUCUGGUAUUACUCUGAUUAUUUAUGGCCUAAUCCGGAUUUGCUCCUUUAUUUGUAAAUAUUCAUCCAUGUACUGUUCAUUUGUGAGUUCUCGAUACAAGGGGAGGGGGGGAAAGACGUAUAUUGUAUUUAUAAGCAUCAAGAACACAAAUGUAAAAUAAUGGUUCCUUAUUAUUAUUAUUAUUAUUAUUACUAUGAAAGAAAUAUCAUGUCGUCUUGAAUGUGCCAACUGCUCUCUCUCUCUCUCUCUCUCUCUCUCUUGCUCUCCCCCCCUUCUCCCUUUUUUGUUUUAGAUUAUUUUUAUUCAAAAUGUAUACGCUGAGAAAGAGAGCGGCCAGCGGCCCUUUCUCUGUUGUCAUCGCGAAGCAACAGAAAACCUGAAGCACAAAGUGUGUUUGUUUGUUGAACGGGAUGUAAGGGGGGCCGGGGUACAGGGCGAGCAGCACCAAUAGGGUGGGAGCGCUGGGAAGGGG
ensembl:lncRNA